GAUGAACGCUGGCGGCGUGCCUAAUACAUGCAAGUCGAGCGAACAGACGAGGAGCUUGCUCCUCUGACGUUAGCGGCGGACGGGUGAGUAACACGUGGAUAACCUACCUAUAAGACUGGGAUAACUUCGGGAAACCGGAGCUAAUACCGGAUAAUAUAUUGAACCGCAUGGUUCAAUAGUGAAAGACGGUUUUGCUGUCACUUAUAGAUGGAUCCGCGCCGCAUUAGCUAGUUGGUAAGGUAACGGCUUACCAAGGCAACGAUGCGUAGCCGACCUGAGAGGGUGAACGGCCACACUGGAACGGAGACACGGUCCAGACUCCUACGGGAGGCAGCAGUAGGGAAUCUUCCGCAAUGGGCGAAAGCCUGACGGAGCAACGUCGCGUGAGUGAUGAAGGUCUUCGGAUCGUAAAACUCUGUUAUUAGGGAAGAACAAAUGUGUAAGUAACUAUGCACGUCUUGACGGUACCUAAUCAGAAAGCCACGGCUAACUACGUG
rnacentral:rRNA from 1 species